rnacentral:rRNA from 1 species
AGAACGAACGCUGGCGGCAAGCCUAACACAUGCAAGUCGAACGGACAAUUAUUUAUAGCCUCUGGCUAUAGGAAAUUGUUAGUGGCAGACGGGUGAGUAAUGCGUAGGAAUCUACCUAGUAGUACGGAAUAGCCAUUAGAAAUGGUGGGUAAUACUGUAUAAUCCCCGAGGGGGAAAGAUUUAUCGCUAUUAGAUGAGCCUACGUUAGAUUAGCUAGUUGGUGAGGUAAUGGCUUACCAAGGCUAUGAUCUAUAGCUGGUCUGAGAGGACGAUCAGCCACACUGGAACUGAGAUACGGUCCAGACUCCUACGGGAGGCAGCAGUGGGGAAUAUUGGACAAUGGGCGAAAGCCUGAUCCAGCUAUGCCGCGUGAGUGAAGAAGGCCUUC